GUGAUUGUGACUAGAGGUCGACCGAUGUAUCGGUCGGCCGAUGUAUCGGGCCGAUAUUUGUCAUUUUUUAAUCUAUCGGCAUCGGCCGAUAUCUGUGUUUAGUAGCGCCGAUUUAUAGUCAGGCAUGUCCGCGGGCAGCUCCGUGUUAUUGGUACCGGCAGAACGCAUGUGAAGGACCCCAACCCAAAACUUGUAAUCCUGGGAGAUAAGGUAAGGCUUAAAUUCUGCUAUUUCAAAGUUGUAUGGUGGUAACAUAUUUACUAGGUUAUAUAUGUUACAAGUAAACUAUGAAGUGUUGCUUCACUUAGUGAAAGGAAAAAAAAAAAAAAAAAACGAAAAGCAUUGAACCGUCGAGAGCUGUAACCUAAGGCUACAGCUGAUUGAGUUCACAGGCUCACAGUUAACUUGUCCUUGCUGUUAGCUUGAAGGACUUUACUCGAAAUCUAGUAGCAGCUUGCUUGCUUACAGUAAUAUGUUGGCCCAAAUGUUAUGAGUUCUGCUUAAAUUUUCCUGUAUUGGAGUCGAAAAAUGUCCCUCUGUUCGUGGGGUGGAGGAGGCGGCAUUAUGUUGCGCUACGUUAUGCUACUCCGCCCCUCUCACAGACAGCUCCGUGCUUGGAGACACAGAGCAGCCAUGGAGCAGCUCAGAACGGUGUAUGACAUUUGUUCAGAAGCGUGGUUUAGGUGACGCAGACAAUAGCCGAGUUUCCAACUUAUUUACAUCAAAGAAAAUUCACCUCAAGAACAUGCGCAGCUGCGUGUGUUUCUAUCAACGUGUUUGCGAAUAAAAAUGGAUCGUUAGCCUGAUGAAGUGACGUGUUCAGACCAAUGUCUGUAUAUAGCCUACGUCCACAGUAAAGUAGUAUAACGUUAAUAGUCAAGAAUGUGAGAAAUCACAAAGGGUUUAGCAUUGCCCUUGCAAGUCUGUGCAUCAUGACAGUUAUUUUGUUAUUUAUGUAUUUGUGUGAUUACUGCUAGAUUAUGGUAAUUUGGUUUUAAAAGCAAAAGGUUAAAAACAAAAACAACACAUAAGGGAAGGUUUUGUUUCUUUUACGCAUUUUUCUAAAUUAGUUGAGAAUGCUGCUCAGGGAAGCUGUUUUAUGCUGCUCAGUUGUUUACUUGAGGUUCUGUUUUAUAUACAAAUUAUAUUCUGUUUUAUAUACAAAUGUUUGUUUUACAUGUUUUAUGUUCUGUUUUAUAUACACAUGCACUUUAAACUGUGUCAAAUGUCAUUUUCAUUUUGUUGCUGGUUGCUAGUGUGUUUGCAGUACUACUGUUUAUUUUUUAUGUAACAUAUUUUUAUAUUUUCCAAGUUAAUUUAUUUUUAUAUUUUCCAAGUUAAUUUAUUUUAUUUAUAAAAUAUUAAAUUUUUCUUUAAAUGAAUAUUUCAGUUAACACUUGCGCCCAAACAAAACUGGUAUGUAUGACUCAAGGUUCAAGUCAGAGUUCAAUAAAUGUUAAAAAAUGUUAAAACAAAUUGUGUGCAUCUACUUAUUAUUAGUGUGACGCUUUAGCAUGCAAACUAAUGGGAAAACUUUUAGAUAUCGGCCCUAAAAAUCGGCCCAAAAAAAUCGGCAGCCCAUAUCGGCUAUCGGUUAACCCUGACCUCUAAGUAUCGG